UCUACUUUGGAUUAAUAUAAAUCAGUUUAAUCUAACUUAUUCAAGACUUUUUUGGCCUCUACUUGGAGGUUCAAGAAAAGGUGAGUGUCAGGCUUCUGAGCCCAAGCUAAGCCAUCAUAUCCCCUGUGACCUGCACAUACACAUCCAGAUGGCCGGUUCCUGCUUUAACUGAUGACAUUCCACCACAAAAGAAGUGAAAAUGGCCUGUUCCUGCCUUAACUGAUGACAUUGUCUUGUGAAAUUCCUUUUCCUGGCUCAUCCUGUCUCAAAAAGCUCCCCUACUGAGCACCUUGUGACCCCCACUCUGCCCGCCAGAGAACAACUCCCCUUUGACUGUAAUUUUCCUUUAUCUACCCAAAUCCUAUAAAACAGCCGCACCCUUAUCUUCCUUCGCUGACUCUCUUUUUGGACUCAGCCCGCCUGCACCCAGGUGAAAUAAACAGCCAUGUUGCUCACACAAAGCCCGUUUGGUGGUCUCUUCACACGGACGAGCAUGAAAGUGAGGUGACAGAACUAGGGGGAAAAGAAUUAUUAUUAUUAUUAUUAAGGCUAACUUACAAAUAUUUUGAGGUAUUUUAUGGGUUUAAAUAUCCAUAAAUCAUUGAAGAAGUCUCACUUUCAGAUAAGGAGGAAACAUUUCAGUAUCUCUGAAAUACAAGAAAAACUUAGAAUUAAAAUUUUUCUCAUUAAAUCAGGAAAAUGAUGUACAUUUAUUGGACUGAUUUUUUUCUUGUGGCAGAAACAUGGAUUCAGUCAAGAAGCCCUUCUGAAGGAGUCGAAGGCCCUAGAUUCCCAGAAAUGUGAAGGCCAUAAGCAUUAAAUGAGAAGGAGUUUGGCAGUGAACAUUAUGCAGAUUCAAACUGAAGAUAUCCUCGUCUUAUUGAGAUAUAAAAAUAAACACUAAGAGUUGCAAGAAAGAACUCAAUUCAACUUCUAUCUCCCAAUCAAGCUAUAACUUUCCACAGGAAAACCUGGUUUCAAUUCAUGCCGAAUUGUUCAAAGAAAAGAAAAAGCUAAAUCAGUUAGAGACAACACAUGGACUGGCUUUUGUCCUAUUAGAGAGCCAGACUGAAGCUGUAUUCAGCCUCACAUUUAGAGACUGUUUCCUAUUACAGUUUACAUCUCUAUUUACCUAAGAGAUACCUAAAGUGAAAAACAAAAAAAUGUUAACUGAGCUGGGGAAUUUUUGUGGGGCUAAGUAGAUUUGGCAGAGGAAAGAAAUGAAUAAUUCAUUUAAUUAUUUCUAAUCAAGAGGAUUUAAUGUCAGGUCUGGGUCAUCUGUAUUAACCCUUUGACAGUUUGUUGUUCUGUAAUGGUCAAGAAACACUAUCCCAUUAAAGUAUAAUAAAUGCUGAACAUCAGCA